UACGAAGGGUGCAAGCGUUACUCGGAAUUACUGGGCGUAAAGGGUGCGUAGGUGGUUUUUUAAGUCCGUUGUGAAAUCCCUGGGCUCAACCUGGGAAUGGCAGUGGAUACUGGAAAGCUAGAGUGCGGUAGAGGGUAGUGGAAUUCCCAGUGUAGCGGUGAAAUGCGUAGAUAUUGGGAGGAACAUCAGUAGCGAAGGCGACUUUCUGGGUCACACCUGACGCUGAGGUACGAAAGCGUGGGGAGCAAACGGG
rnacentral:rRNA from 1 species